rnacentral:lncRNA from 7 species
GGAGGAAAUUGGCCUCAGUUUGGUUCAGUUUUCUGGAGGGGUUAGACGACUUCUCGGUGAGAGCAUCUACACAGUAGUUCAGCAUAAACCCACCACAUAUAUCAGAACAGAAACUAAUAUUGGCUCCCAAAGAAUUCAUGCUAAAGAUCCUGGAUGUCUUAGGGGACCACCACAUUCAGAGUGAUGCAAAAAAAUUUUAAGCCUCACUGUUUUCUGAAGGCUCUUCAACGUAUGUGUAACAGCCACAACUCCUACGUGAUUCUGCCCCGGCUGUCCUUUCAUAAACUGAACCUGAAGUCAAUAUGCAGAUUCUGCAACUUAUGGGAUUUCUUUGAACAGAUGAUCAUGCUGUUAAGGCGGUGACUCACCAGGACAAUUCUGGAUGACAAAAGGCAGUUACAACAAUAUAGAUCUUUUGAAGAUGAGUAAAGAGGAGAAUAGAAAUUUGAUAAAUAGCUUUCUUCCUUUAUUUAUUUGUGUUUAUUUAUUUAUUGCUAAAUCUAAGGAAAUGAAUUUUGCAAAUAUCUGCAGUGGAAGAUUUUCAGGCGAGCAGAUCCAUCCUCUUGGAAUCCAGAGACUCUGCCAAACAAGCUGUAAAAAUAAAGGGGGAAUAAUUGCCCUGAAAGGUGUUUAGCUAUUACAACAAUGUGUAUAGUGUAAAUAUUUGAAUUACACAAAAUACAACUUAUGAG